UCAUCUCCACCUCCUCCAAAACCUCUGCAGCUUCCUCCAGAGCACAGAAAAGGAAGAGAAAAGCUCCACCGGUCACAUCUGUCAAGCCACCCAUGACACCACUCUCAGACACCACCUGCUGUGCUCGCUGAAGGGAGCAUGAUCCGCC